GGCCUGAGAGGGUGACCGGCCACACUGGGACUGAGACACGGCCCAGACUCCUACGGGAGGCAGCAGUGGGGAAUAUUGCACAAUGGGCGGAAGCCUGAUGCAGCAACGCCGCGUGAGGGAUGACGGCCUUCGGGUUGUAAACCUCUUUUAGCAGGGAAGAAGCGAGAGUGACGGUACCUGCAGAAAAAGCGCCGGCUAACUACGUGCCAGCAGCCGCGGUAAUACGUAGGGCGCAAGCGUUAUCCGGAAUUAUUGGGCGUAAAGAGCUCGUAGGCGGUUUGUCGCGUCUGCUGUGAAAUCCCGAGGCUCAACCUCGGGCCUGCAGUGGGUACGGGCAGACUAGAGUGCGGUAGG
rnacentral:rRNA from 2 species